GCCUCGGUGGCGAAAUUGGUAGACGCAAGGGACUUAAAAUCCCUCGGUUGGAAACGACCGUGCCGGUUCGACCCCGGCCCGAGGCACCA
rnacentral:tRNA from 1 species